UAUAUCACUGCACCUGACCAGUUCUUUAUUGGCUGGUGUAAUGCAGUAGUGAGUUGAUACUAACUCCAGCUUAAGAAACAAGGUUGUUCUUCGUGUGGGUGACUCUGUGCCGAAAGCAUGGGAACAGCC
ensembl:snoRNA SNORA65 small nucleolar RNA, H/ACA box 65